UAGUGGCAUUUCGUUCGUCUUUACGUUCUGAGUUUAAAUUCCGUUGAGGGCGACUUCUCCUUUCGGAGUCGGUAAAAUAAAUACCAGUUGAAUACUGGUGUCAAUUUAAUCGACUUACUCCAGCCAUGAAAUGGCUGGCCUUAUGCAAAAAUUAAAAAAGGAUUAUUAUUAUGCAAAGUUUUUCUUCGGUAAUUUUAUGUGAAUUUUUUGGGUACUUUUUGGUUAUCUCACCCCAUUAAAAAAAUUGUGUUACCUCCCUUCUAAAAAAUUGAGUUUGUUGCGACAAGAGAUUGGAUUAAAAGUGUUAGAUCCUUUUGAUUCAGUGCUUCAACACAUUGUUGGCAUUUAGCCUCCUCAAUAGGCAUGAUAUAACACACAAGACAGAGAUGAAUUCUUUCAGGCUGACUUGACCUUUCAUUUUUUAAAAAUAAUCAUUCAGCUUUGUUCCUGUUUGCAAGAAAAGAAAAACAUCCUGUAAGCCUUUGUGAGUUACUCACUGUUGAAGAUUUUGUCCUCAGUGAAUUAGAUGGCUAAUGGUGAAUCCAUUUCAACAACUGAAGACUCCAUUAGUUGAAAUCCUGGCUACACCUAUGUAAAAAUCAGCAAGUUAUUGAGAUAUGUAGACAGUACAAUUCUCUUCGGUAUGCAAUGAUAUUGACUGAGAUAUAGGUUUAUGAAAAAUGAAGCCUGUUGUAGAAAAAGCAAAGCAAAAUAACAAAUAUAAACUGUUCACACAGAAUAAAUGCAUAGACACACAGUCUCUUAAAGUUAUUGCUAACUAUAAUAGCAUAAGUUAUUGUUGUCUAUACUAUGCUGUCAUAAACAAAAAUGUGAACCUCAUAUGUAGAGAAUAAAUCUUUCUAUUUUCAGUAAUUAAAAUUUUGAUUGAUAUUAGAUGAAAUAUUAAGGUGGUGAGCUGGCAGAAUCAUUAGCAUGCCAGGUAAAAUGCUUAGAAGCAUUUCAUUUGUCUUUACAUUCUGAGUUCAAACUCUGUUAAGGUUGAAUUUGCCUUUCGUCUUUUUGGGGUCAAUAAAAUAAGUACUAGUUGAAUGCUGGGGUCGAUGUAAUUAACUUAUUCCUUACCCUAAACUUGUUGGCAUUGUGCCAAAAUUUGAAAUCAAUAUAUGGUGAAUAAUUUCUUCUGAUUAUAUAAUUAUGUUAGUGUGGCU